CAAUGCUAUAUACCAUUUACUUUCUUUUGAAUGAAUUAUACCCAUCCACUUCCACAUUCCAGUUAUGGAUACUAAGUCUUAAUGACAUUUAUAAUGUCAGAUUUCUUUUUUCUGAGUUAGGACCUCUAGUUCAUUGUGAUCAUUGCUUUGGACAUUUGUGUAUAGACAUUUGAUCUCAUGCCUUUUACUUGAAGCUCUUUUCUUGAAUAAACUACAACAUACUUACACCCAUUAUGUACUUUCUCCAAAAAGUGGAGGUUCCAAAAGAAAUUCACUAGUAGGAGAAAGGAGUUAUAGAAGUGGAAAGAUGUUCUAAGAUAAGAAAGCUUCUUUCAUUUUGCUUUUUAAUGAAAUAAUGUUGCUUGUAACCUUCUGCUAUAUUUUUCCACUUCAUUUUAAAAAUGAAUUUAUGUUUUACACUAGCAUUGCCAUUCAUUUGUUUACCAUGUCUCUGUUUAGAUGAGGAGAUUAAAUAACAUUUGGUCUCUUCUAGGCUCUUUGUUGUGCUAAGUGAUUCACAUCACUUUAAUAUCUAAUGAUAAUCUGUGUCAAUGUUUCAUAUUCUUUCCCCUUUUUUCAGAGUCAACUAAUUGCUUGCUGUCAAUCUGUGUAAGAUUGAGUUGGAGCUAUUUUAAUUUCACAUAGCAUUGCCCUUUCAUCUUUUUUCUAUCUGGUUUUUGUUUUUCUAAAAAUAGAUGUUUAAUUGUAUAUGGACAGAAAAUUCAAAAAUUACUUGCUGUCAAGAACAAAUUAUUUUCUGUCCAUUAAAAUAUAGUUAUUUUCACAUUUAAUGAUGAUAUAUUCUUUACAUGAAGUGUGAUUUUCCUUUUCUUGAGGCAAAUAUUCAUGCUAUAGAAGCAUAGAACAAUUCUGAUGAGAAAGGAAAUAAAAAGCUGUUAUGUAACCUGUAGCCUGAAACUUCAGGCUAGGAAUUUACAAAGUUAAAGUUCAGUCUGGGAAGAUUAUCACAGAAAUCUCUUUCUUUGGGUCAUUUUACCUCCACUCAGGAUUUCCCCUAGAAACUUUAGAAUGUUUGGCUGGUGACUAGGUCUUUACAACAAAAGAAAGAGAAUUCCUCUGGUUCGUGCAAAGACAUCAAAACACUGAAUGUGAGUCAGACUUUAUUUAACCUGAGAAAAAAUACAAAGGCCAUGCACUUGAGGCCAAAAAUUAGCUCCACCUACUGAAGGAUGUUUGGAGUCUUCCAGACUGAUAAUUCUAACUCUGAGUGGCCCCCUACGAUAAGGAAAAGAAUUUAGGAUUGCUGUAUAGUCAGGCAACCCACUCCAAAGAAGCACUAUGUCUAGAAAACUGUACUGGUCCCUGGGAGGUGAGCCUAAUUGUAGAUAUGAGUUGUUUUACUUUCUAGUGACCCGAAGUUCCUUCCCCUUGUUGAACAGGCACACAUAGGGCAAUACUUUGUGCCUAGACGAUUGCAUUUGUGCUUGGUUAGAACAUGACUACAAGGGUUGCUUAAGUCAGUCCUUAUUUUGGAAAAGCAUCACACAAAUUAGUGUAGUGGUUCAGUAUUGUGAUGUAAUGAAACAAUUUUAGAAGAUCUGAUAGUUAAUAAAAGAUUUAUUUAACUAUAAAAGAGGAAGAAUAUUUAGCAAGAAAACUUUGUAAAGUCAGUAGAAAGCAGCUUUCCUGCCUUUGUGUUAUCCCUGACUACUAGUGAAGCAUGCUGGGAGGUAGGGUUUGUAUUUCGGUGACCUGAAAGUGGCCUCAAUAACUUGAACCUCAGUUUAUUGAGCCAGUUUAGUUUCAAGGACAAUUUCAAUAUCUUCUAAGGAAAAGAGCUAGCCAGGCCAUAUUGUAGGGACCCAGGAGAUAUUCCUCAUACCAUAACCCUCUUCCCUAGACCAGAAAAAUUCACAUAACAAAAAGAACUGUAAGCUUCAAGGUUCAUGUUCCUUCUUCCACAUGAAGACUUUGUCCUUUUCUGAUACUGAAUUCUGGUACUUGCUUGGUCGAAGAGCUCCUCCAUGUCACUUGAUUCAGUCAAGCCUUUGUUGUUUUGCUUGGCACUGUGACAUUUAAUGUUUUUGCCAGCAACUUAAAGUAAGGCACAAAUGUAUGUUUAUCCAAUCUACCUGUGGCACAAAGCUGGGAAAGGGAGUUAAUAUAUUGGAUGACAGACAGGACCCAAAAGGUAAUGGUAGAUUAAGAUGUGCUAAAUCUAAUGACAUGAAAUUCAGUAGGGAUAAAAUGUAAAGUCUUGUACUUAGGCUUAAAAAUUCAACUUGACCAACAUAAAACAGGAAGGCAUGACUAGAUAGCAGUUCUGAUGAUGAUCUUGAAUGUUUUAGUGGAGUACAAGUUCAGUAUGAAUCAACAGUGUGGUAUGAUAGUCAAAAAUGUUAAUGCAAUCUUAGUUGAAAUAAUGAGAAGCAUGGUAUCCAGAAUAAGGAAGUGAUUGAUCCACUAUCCUUUGUCCAAAUUUUAUCAUAUCUAGAAUGUUGUAUUCAGUUUCUGGGUUAGGUCUAUCUUCUACCAUUGUUUUUUCCACAACAUGAGUUAGGCCCAAGUCUUCCCCUUCCCUUCUCACCCACUCCCUACCCACCAAAUAGGGAUUAGUUUUCACUGUACCCUACCCUGUUGAGCAGAUUAGUUUCCAUAAUGAGUCAAUGCAGGCCCUAUCUACCAUAGCUGAAAGCUGAGUACUAUAGCUAAACAGACUCCUCAAAUCUGAACUAAGUGUGGUCUGGUGUCAGGCCCACUCCUAACAAAUUCUGACCCAUCACAGUUUAAAAAGAACAUUGAUGAUAAAUUCAGCCAAGGAGUAAUAAUAGCUAUAGUAACUAGCAUUUAAGCUUUAUGGUUUGCAAAACACUUUACAAACAUCUCAUUUAAUCUUCACAACUCUGGGAGUGAGGUGCUAUAUUUUAUAGAUGAGGAACCUAAGGCAGACAAGUUUAUAGAGUAACCCAGAAUCAUGCUAGUAAUUGUCUAAAAUUGAAUUUGAACUCAGCCUCCAAUGGAACUACUCCUGUCACAUAUAAAAUUCAAGAAACUCAAAGGUCCUUCUUAGAGGAGUUGUGUAAGUAUACCCUAGUUAAAGCAAAUUAACUCUACCAAAGACCCAGGAUAUGGUGGGAUAGCGAUUUUUAUUUUAUUAACACAAGCUUUUUCUUGAGCAGAACCAAAUUAUAAAGUAGUUAUAAAGUAUUUACAAGAAUUAGAGGGAAGGAAUGGGAUGAACUCAUCCAUAAAACAGAAGUGGAUGUUAGAAUGGAUUAAGAACCAGAAUCCUACAAUAUGCUAUUUAUAAGAAACACAUUUGAAGCACAGAAAUACAGAGUAAAGGUAAAGACCUGGAGCAGAGUCUAUUAUGCUUCAGCUGAAGUUUAAAAAAAAAGUAGAAGUAGCAAUCAUGACUUCAGAUGAAGCUAAAGUAACAUUAAAUCUAAGUAAAAGAUAAGGAAGGAAAUUUUACCUUGCAAUGAAGUAAUACUAAUACUAAACAUAUAUGCACCAAGUGGUAUAGCAACCACAUUUUUAAAGAAGUCAAAUGAGUUCUAGGAGUAACUCAUAGUAAUGAUAGUAAAACUAUACUAAUGAGAGACCUCAACUUCCCCUUCUCAGAACUAGAUAAAUCUAACUAAAAAAAAGUUAAGAAGGUAAAUAGAAUUUUAGAAAAAUUUGAUAUAAUAAAUUUUGGAGAAAGUUAAAUGGAAAAAGAAAAGAAUAUACUUUUUUUUUAACAGUGCAUGGCACCUCCACAAAAAUUGACCUUGCAUUCACGAUAAAAAACAAAACAAAACAAAACUCACAAACAAAUGCAGAAAAGCAGAAAUAGUAAAUAUAUCUUUUCUAGAUCAUAAUGCAAUAAAAAUUACAUUCAAUAAAGAUCCUUGGAAAGAGAGAUUAAGAAGUAAUUGGAAACUCAAUAAUCUAAUUCUAAAGAAUAAGUAGGUUAAAUAAUAAAUCAUAGAAACAAUCAUAAUUUUAUUAAAGAAAAUAUCAACAAUAAGACAACAUACCAAAAUGUAUGGGAUAUAGCUAAAGCAGUACUUAGAGUACUUAGAGGGGCACGUUUAUAUCUUUAUUCACUUGUAACAAUAAAAAAUAAGAGAAAGAACAGAUUAAUGAAUUGGGUGCACAACUGAAAAAACUAGGAAAAGAACAAAUUGAAAAUCCCUAUUUAAAUACCAAAUUGGAAAUCCAGAAAAUUGAAGAUUAUAUUAAUAAAAAUGAAAAUAAGGAAACAAAUGAACUAAUAAAUAAAGCUAGCAGCUAGUUUUAGGAAAAAAACCAAUAAAAUAGAUAAACCAUUCAUUAAUUUGAUUAAAAAAAGAAAGAAAAAACCAAAUUAUCAGUAUCAAAAAUGAAAAGUGAAUUUACUACAAUGAAGAGGAAAUUAAACUAAUUAUUAGGAAUUAUUUUACUGAGUUACAUGCUAACACACCUGACAAUCUAAGUGAGAUAGAUGUAUGUUCACAAAAAUAUAAAUUACCUCGAUUAACAGAAGAAGAAAUAGAAUAAUUUAACAAUCCCAUAUCAGAAAAAGACAUUGAAUAAACCAUCAAUGAACUCUGCAAGAAAAAUUCCCUGGAGCCAGGUGUAUUCACAAAUGAAUUCGGUCAAAUCUUUAAAGAACAAUGAGUCUCAAUAUCAUACAAACUGUUUGGAAAAGUAGCUGAAUAAGGCAUCCUACUAAAUUGUUUUUACAAUACAAAUAUGGUACUGAUAUCUAAACCAGGAAGAGCAAAAACGAAGAAAGAAAACUAUAGACCAAUAUUGCUAAUGAAUAUUGAUGCAAAAUUUUUAAAUAAAAUACCAACAAGGUGAUUACAGCUGUAUAUCAAAAGGUAAUACACUGUGGCCAGGUGGGAUUUAUAUCAGAAAUGCAUGGAAUGGUUCAAUAUUAGGAAAACAAUCAGCAAAAUUGACUAUAUCAAAUAAAACCAACAAAAAUCAUAUGAUAAUCUAAAUAAUGCAGAAAAACCUUUGACAAAAUACAAAAGCCAUUCCUAUCAAAAACACUAGAAAGCCUAGGAAUUAAUGGAGCUUUCCUUAAGAGGAUAAAUAGUAUAUAUCUAAACUUUCCUCAUGCAUUAUCUGUAAUUGAGAUGCCUUCCCCAUAAGAUCAGAGGUGGAAUAAGGAUGCCCAUUAUUACACUAUUAUUCAUAUUAUAUUAGAAAUGCUAACUAACAAUGAGAAGAAAAAUGAAUUAGAAUAGGCAAUGAAGAAGCAAAACAAUCUUUGCAAGUAAUAUGAUGAUAUACUUAGAGAAUCCUAAAAAUUCCAUUAAAAACUAGCCAAAAUACUUAACAAUUUUAGCAAAGUUGCAGAAUAGAAAAUAAAUUUACAUAAAUCAUUAGCAUUUCUUUACAUUACCAACAAAGCCCAUCAACAAGAGAUAGAAAAAGAAAUUCCAUUUAAAUUAAAUGUAGAUAAUAUAAAAUGCUUGGGUGUCCACCUGCCGACAAAUCCAGUAAUUAUACGAACACAAUUACAAAAUACUUCAUAAAAAUAAAGUCAGAUCUAAACAAUUGGAAAAAUAUUAAUUGUUCAUGGGCUGGCUGAGCCAACAUAAUAAACUUGACAAUUCUGCCCAAAUGAAUCUUUUUAUUCAGUGCCAUGUCAAUCAAAUUGCCCAAAAAUUAUUUUAUGGAACUAGGAAAAAUACUAACAAAAUUAAUCUAGAAGUAUAUAAGACCAAGAAUAGCAAAGAAUCAAUUAAAAAAAAUGAAAGAAGGUGGCCUAGGAGUACAAGAUCUCAAAAAUGUAUUACAAAGCUGUAAUCAUCAAAACAAUCUGGUAUUGACUAAGAAACAGAGUAGUAAAUCAGUGGAAUAGAUUAGGUACACAAUACAUAGUAGCAAAUCACAAUUAUUUAGUGUUUGAUAAACCCAAAGAUUCAAGCUUUUGGGACAAGAAAUCACUAUUUGACAAAAACUGCUGGGAAAACUGGAAAAAGGUAGGUCAGAGACUGGGUAUAGACCAAUAUCUCACACCCUACACCAAGAUAAAGUUAAAAUGGAUAUAUGAUUUAGACAAAAAUCUAAAUGGAGCUACCAUUUCACUUUAUCUCUUUUCUUUUUAGUGUGUGUUCAAGUUCUCUUUCACAAAAUGGCUAAUAUGAAAAUAUGCUUUACACUAUUAGACAUAUCAUCUAUGUCAGAUUGCUUACUAUUUCAAGGAGGAGUGAGGGAAGGUAAGGAAAUUUGGUUCAAACUUUUUUUUAAAAGCAAAGGCUAAAAAAUUGUUUUUUCAUGUAGUUGAGGAAAAAAUAAAAUGUUAUUUAAAAAAAGAAUUAGAUGGAAGGCACUUCAACAGCUAUUUUACUUACUAAAACAAUUGCUAUUAAAAAGUAAAAAUGUAAAAGUGAUAGGUAGGUUACUUAAGAGCAACUUUAGCUUAAAUAGUCCCAGCAAUUAUUGAAGUCCAUAGAAAGAAGAAAAGGAGCAACAGAGACUGGAAACAGAUGCUUUUUUGAAAAUUUCCUUAUAUGCUCAGAAUUUGAACUUUAGUUGUAGUUGUUGCUCAGUUGCAUCUGACUGUGACCCCUUUUAGGGUUUUCUUGGCAAGGACAUCAAAGUAGUUAACCAUUUUCUUCUCCAGCUUAUUUUAUAGACGAGGAACUGAGGCAAACAGGUGUAAGUGACUUUCCUAGGGUCAAAAAGCUAUUCUUUGAAGGCAGAUUUUAACUCAGGAAAAUGAAUCUUUCUGACUUCAGGCUUCUAUCCCAUUAUACCACUUAGUUGCCUGAACUCUAGCUACUUUGGGGUUUUGUAUUCCUUGGAUUUUGGAGUGAUACAUAUAAUGAAUAUAUACUUGUCAGUAAGACUGGGUUUCAAGCUUCAUUUCAAAAGUUUUUUAGCUAUAUCAUGUUGGGCCUUGUGGAAGAGAAUGCGUGUAAAUACUCUUCCACAGCCUCAGUUUCCUUAUUUGUAAAAUGAGGGCGUUGGACUCAAUAAUUUCAAAAGUCCCUUUCAGGGUUACAUACAGGAUUUUGUACUCCAUGAGAUAUGCUAAAGAGUCCCAGGUACUAUGAUUAAUAUUAUAGUGUUUAUCUUCUUUCCUAAUGUUGUUGCUUCCUGACAUAUUGGUUAAGCAUCAAUAUUUUCCUUAAAUGUGCCUUUUUAUUCAAUAGAAGAAACAGUACUGCCACUUAGUCUUUAAGAAAAUCUCUAUAGGUUUUGUUUUUCCCCUUUUUUUUAUCUCCAUUCUUGAAGUCUCUUCUGUCUUAAACAUCUCUACUCUACAAUUGCUUUUCCAUUCUUACUCUCACCUCCUCCUUCCUUCUGCAUAUUGUGCAGUAGGAUUGGAGAGAGAGCCCUUGAAGAGAGGGCAUUUCAUUUUAUUUUGAAAAUAACGGGGAAGGGAAAACAGGUUAAGUCUAAAGUACUCGGUUUUAAAAUCCAGUUGAUUAUUUCUUAUGAUUAUAUGAGUUACAAAAUGUUGAAGAAAUCCUCCUGGUCCUGCUUUAUUUAUGAGGGUUAGGGGUGGAUACACAAGCUCUACUAUGUGUUAAAUUAUGUCAUCUGUGCUAACUCUCCUAACCAUAUCUGGAUUUAUAAUUUGAAUGUCACUUGAAGUUGUAGUGGUGUGCUGGAGCCAGUUUAUAUUGGUUCAGGCCAGUAAAUUGUUAAAUUUUUAAUGGGAUACACCCCAGAAAUCAGCAAGCACUACAAAUCAAGGCUUGGUUUAUUGUUUUGUAGAUUUUUAGACUUAAGAAAAUGUUUGAAAAAAUGUUGAUAAUACAGAUUAAACUGAAAAGUGUGUUGUGUGUUCAUUCCCCCACCUACCCACCCACCCAGAGAGCCAAUUGUUAAUCACUUACCAGUAUGCCUCUGCAUAAUAUAUUGGACUGGGCUACAAAUGAAAUUACUGCUAGAUAAAUUUUAGUUUUGUAUUUGAUAUUAUUUUGAACAACUAGAAGGGGAAGAAAUUUCAGAAUAUCAUUCCAAAAUAAGGAAUUAGAUAUGUAAUGUAAGGGAAAGAAAGCAUGGGAAGUCACUCCCAAACCAUUCUAGUACCAUUUUUUCCCCACUUCAAACUAGUCCCUUACCCUUGGUAAUAAAAAAUUAGGAAACUAAUAUUUUUAGAUAAUUAACAUCUUUCUCCUCCUCAUCUUGUACUACCCACCAAGGAACACAAAUGAAAGUUAAUUAAGCAUUUUCAAACAGAGCAACAGAUCAAAUACCCUUUUAAAGUACUAAAAGCCCUAGUUAAAAACCCUUAGUUAAAAAACAAUUAAGAGAUACUCAUCAAAGGUGGGUAGCACUUAGCAUCUGGUUGGCUUUUUUAAAAAAUUAUUUAUUUAUUUAGAAUAUUUUUUCAUGGUUACAUGAUUCAUGAUUUUUCCCACCCCUCUUCUCUCCCCCUCCCAGAGCUGACAAGCAAUUCCACUGGUUUAUACAUGUAUCAUUGUUCAAAACCUAUUUCCAUGUUAUUAAUAUUUGUAAUAGAGCAAUAUCAAAACCCUAAUCAUAUCCCCAUCAAACCAUAUGAUCCAUCAUAUAUUUUCUUUCUGCGUUUCUGCUCCCACAGUUCUUUCUCUAGAUGUGGAUAACGUUCUUCAUUGCAUUGCUACUAGUAGAAAAAUCCAUUACAUUUGAUUGUGCCACAAUGUAUCCAUCUCUGUGUAUAGGAUUCUCCUGAUUCUGUUCCUUUCACUUUGCAUCAAUUCCUGGAGGUUGUUCCAGUUCACAUGGAAUUCCUCCAGUUCAUUAUUCCUUUUAGCACAAUAGUAUUCCAUCAUUGGGGUGUAUGGGGUGUUCAGGGAGGGGUAGUGCCUCUGGUAUGGAGGGCUUGUCGUACCCUCUUAGGGCAGCUCUCCAGCCACUGACCCCCACCUGACACCCAGCUCUCACUUGUAGCUCCCAGUAGCUGCUAGCAUGUGGCAGCGGCCACACCCUGGGCAAUGGCUUUGUCAGGCCGGCCAAACCUUGUGAGGGUAGCCAUCGGGUCGUCGACCCCUGGUGAACCAGGGCUUUGCUCACCCAGCAUUUGAAGAUUGCUUUGGCGGAAUAGGCGGAAGAAACCAAUAAGAAGGUUCAACGACUGAGAUGGCGAUGCAGCAAAGCACUGUGGAGUGCUUAGGGCGUGUUGGAGCACAAAAGACAACAUGGCCAUCCAAUGCAGCUGAGGAAGUCUCCAGGUGUAACGAUUUUUCAUGCCACUGGACCCAGGCUUCCAACACCGAGAGAGUGGGACUGUCUCUGUGCAUCGACUUUUCCACUUAAAUCUCCUUCAUGCACAAGUGUCUUUGUGCACACUCAUCUACAUCACAGAUGAAAGCACCCAAAGACAAUAGUCAUCCUUGGUUAGUGAGAGACUACUACUAUACUAUACUAUUCCAUCAUCAUCAGAUACCACAAUUUGUUCAGCUAUUCUCCAGUCGAUGGGCAGCCCCUUGUUUUCCAAUUUUUUGCCACCACAAAGAGCGCAGCUAUAAAUAUUUUUUUACUUAUUAUCUCUUUGGGGACAAACCCAGCAGUGGUAUGGCUGGAUCAAAGGUCAGACAGUCUUUUAAAGCCCUUGUGCAUAAUUCCAAAUUGCCCUCCAGAAUGGUUGUACCAAUUCACAACCCCACCAGCAAUGCAUUAGUGUCCCAAUUUUGCCACAUCCCCUCCAGCAUUUAUCACUUUAAUUUGCUGCCAUAUUGGCCAGUCUGAUAGGUAUAAGGUGGUACCCCAGAGUUGUUUUAAUUUGCAUUUUUCUAAUCAGGAGGAAUUUAGAAUACUUUUUCAUGUGCUUAUUGAUGAUUUUUUAUUUCUUCUUGUGAAAACUGUCUAUAUAUAUCCCUUGACCAUUUGUCGAUUGGAGAAUUGCUUAUUUUUUUUUUGUAAAUUUGACUUAGUUCCUUAUAUAUUUUGGAAAUUAAACCUUUGUCAGAGAGUUUGGUUAUAAAAAUGUUCUCCCAGUUUGUUGCUUUCCUUCUAAUUUUGGUUGCAUUGGUUUUGUUCGUACGAAACCUUUUUAAUUUGAUAUAAUAAAAGUCAUUCAUUGUACAUUUUGUAGUGUUCUCUUGCUUGGUCUUAAAUUUCUUCUUUUCCUACAGAUCUGACAGGUAUAGUGUUCUACGUUCACCCAAUUAAUUUAUUAUUUCACUCUUUAUAUUUAAGUCAUUUGUCCAUUUUGAAUUUAUCUUGGUGUAGGGUGGGUGGUUUGUUUUUUUUUGUUUGUUUGUCUGUUUGUUUUUUAAGAGAAUACUGAAUGGGAUAGAAAUCUCAUCUUAUCCUAAAAGUAGGAAACAGUCACUAAUUAUUGUAGACUACUUUAAAGAGCCAAAUCGCCACCACAGGGCCAGGAAGGAGUCUUUCAUAGAGAUCUACUUUAAGUAAUAUGAUUUUAAAAUCCUUCACUGUGUUAAUCAGUGCUUUGCACCAUAUUCUUAAGUGUGAUUUAAAAUUUUUAUUUACUCUUACUGUCCAGACACUUUGAGGAAAAAGGGAGGUUGGCAAUCUAAAGGAUUUUCUACAGUACUUAAAAGUCUUCAGUCAAUUUCCUCUCAGUUGUUCUUAUGCUUCUCUGGAUCUGUUGUGGGUUUGCUGAUCUUAUCUAAUAUAAGCCUGACCCCAAAGCCUAUUGGUAUGGAACUCUCUCUUCAUUGGUGUAGAUGAAUGUCCUGACCAUCAAGGGUGGAGCAGAAUUGGUGAGAGCACAUGAGAGUAGUUCAUUUCAGUUCAAGUCUCUUCCAGAUCUUUUCAAAUUUUAUAUGAGUUUUCUUCAAGUCUUUGAGUCUCUGGAUUUGGGGUGCUUCUGGCUUACAGCUUUGAGAGAGAAGAUGGAUGAUGCCCAACUCACUUUAUGUUACUGAAGGAAAAACAAUCUGGGAAGAAGCUGACAUGGAAAGAACUUGUAGUUUCCGUCAUGACUCUAUCACCAGCUUGCUACAUUAGAGAUUUUGAAGAACUCCACUUUGAAUGAGAUCUAGGACUAGCUCUCUUGAUUGAUGCAAAUUAACCUUAUUCCUAAAGGGAAUAAGGUUAAUUUUUUUACUCUGUAUUCUCUGUUAUAUAAUUUCUCCUACAUAUACUCUUUCUGAUUUCUGUUUUGCUACUGAUUUAGAUAAAUGGGUUUCUUAGCUAAUUGUUAUGGGUAUGUUCAUUGUGGAACUAGUAUUUGGUGGGAAGGGAGUCAAACCUUGGAUAUAAAUCUUGAGGUCCUACUUUGUCCAGUAAUGAAAUUGUAAUUUUUUUUUGAACCUGAAAAUUAUAUCCCAUAGACUAGAUUCCCUACUAAGGGAGACUGUAGAUAUAAUUGUAGCCUGAUACUCCCUCUCCCUGGGGAGAGAAGAGUGUCAGCCCCUGGUCCCAACUUCCUGUUUCCCCUCCUGGAGAAUUAAAAUCUCCUUUGGAGAUGGAUGGAGGGGAGAAGAGGCUAGUCUAUUUUGCCUUGCUACGAGUUACAUGACACCUACAUGCUAUAUGUGGGAGAUAACCUUUGCAACACUAAUAAAAGGAAAUUUAUAAAUGUAAAACCUCACACAGGUUCAAAAAAUCAACUUUACAAGUAUGGAAUAAGCUAGAUAAAUGGUGUUAAACUAAAAUAGAAACUCAAUUGGGGGCCUCCAUUCUGUACACAAGGGGAGCUAGGUGACACAAUGGAUAGCGCCGAGUCUACAGUCAGGAAGACUCAUCUUCCUGAGUUCAAAUUGGGCCUCAGACAUUAAUUGCAGUGUGAUCCUGUGCAAAUCACUUAGUCCUAGUUCCCUCAAUUUCCUCAUCUGCAAAAUGAGCUGGAAAAGGAAAUGGCAAAUCACUUAGUUAUUUUUUCAAGAAAACCCCAAAAGAGGUCACAAAGAGUUGGACACAGCUAACAUUCUGUAUGUAAGGAUCUCUAUUGACUUCUUUUUCAGAUGUAAUGUAUCUAUGUUUUAUUGCAUUUUUAUUUAUUCUGCUAAAUAUUUCCAGAUUACAUUUUAAUCUGGCUCCAGACCACACUACAGUGUUGCUUGCCACAUAUCACCAGGACUGCCUUUGUUUGACACUUCUGGUCUAGAUAAUACUUCAUCUAAGGAAGAUCUGGGAGUGUGGCCUAAAGCAGUUUGCUGUGGGGCUCCUUUAAUUGUACUUCCCAUCAAGUUGAACUCAAAGCUAUAGCCACACAAGUUCCCUUCACAUUGCAAAUGCACAAAAAUCUACCCAUUGUAACUUUCCUGUGGGAGUUUAUAUAUAAGGUUAGGGGAGUGGAUUAAUUUCAAAAAAUAACUCAAGACACUUUGAUUAUCACUUCCCUACUUGGAUCCCCAAUCUGCUGAUUUCUUAGUAAUAAUAAUAAUAGGUAGUAUAUACAUAGCACUUGAAGGUUUACAAAGCUCUUUACGGAUUUCUGAUUUUAACCUUACAACAACUAUGGGAGAUAAAUGCUGUUGUUACCCCAUUUUACAAAUAAGAAAACUGAGGCAAGUAAUUUAAGAAAUUUAGCCAAGGUCAUAUAGCUAGUAAAUGUCCAAGGUUAGAUUUGAAGUCUUCUUGACUCUAGGUUGAGAUCUCUAUCCACUGCAAAAGAAUUCAUUGACUUGAUAAAGUCUAAGUGGAAUUUACUGACAAAAAUCAAAAGUGAAAUGUACUUUCUGUUCACAUUUCAAAUCCCUUGAACAAGUUGCUAAUGCCAUUCCUGGAGGAGUCUAAAUUUCCAGUUUUCUCUCACCUUCCCUUCUGUGUCCUAUACUCUAUUUUCAGGGUUGGAAUGAUGAGGAUAACAAGAGAGAUAGAUGAUUGUAUCCAAAAUAUCUGAAUUUCAGAAUUACAGGAGGUAAAGAAAACCACCUGCUCACAUUCCAGAUCAACUCAUAUCUCUGUAGGGACAUUGGCAGCCAACGGUUUCUGUUUGUGCCUAAUACUGAAGGAAAACCUACUCUCUGAUACCUUAGCUAUCCAACUUUGGGAAAUCUCUUGGACUUCCAAGAAAAGCAGCUUCCUUCUCAGCAUAGCUUGUCAAUAUGCUAGAGCUUCACUCCAGGAAUCUGAGACAGACAGUGAGAGAGGCAAAGACUAAUAGAAACAGACAGACACAAAGAAUUUCCUUAUCCUUAAAUCCCACCAGAGAGCAUAACCUGUGAGAUCUCUGGAAAUUGUAAUUUAUAGCUCCACAUUUCUAUCUCUCUUUGGUGCCUAAAGAUCUGGAAAAUUUAGGAGUAAAGUUGGGUGGAGACUAAAGUAGAAAGUUGUUUCAUACAGUGAUUAUAUAUGACUUUAUAAUACUUGUCUAUUAUAAUAUUUGUAGAAAAUUGAUAUUGCAAAAGUUUUAGUCACUUCCUUAACAUUGCUCCAAAUUAUUUGGUUUUAUUUACAGGUCUACCAACUUUGGUACUUUGGAUUUUAUAAAGCACUUCCCUUAUAAUAAUGAGAUAGGUAAUACAGAUAUUAUUAAUCUCCAUUUUAUAGUUGAAUAAACUAAGUCUCAAGGAGAUUACUUUACUUGCCUAAGAUUAAAUAGUAUUAGAUAUUAGAACUAGAAUUCAAGCCCAGGUCUUCUAAGUCUAACACUCCAUUUACUAUAUUUGUACAUUAAAUUAAAAUCCCUAUCUUCAGGAUAAUUUUUACUACUUAACUGGUAGGAUUUAAGCUGAAAAUGACAAGUUCAGACUCACAGGGUGCUUCCCUUUUUCCUCCAACCUCUGACCUUUAGUAAAUCUGACCUGGGCUCAGUGGCCUGAUUUUGAUAUCCUGCGUGCCUGACCCUGCUUCUUAUUCCUUGCAUCUGCUUCUCCUUAGGUUUUGAUCUCCACAUUUCUAGUCUCAGUCUGGUAGGUAACCUGACCCAGACUCUCCUAAUUGCUCCCUUGCUUAAUGAUUCAGUUUGGGGAUCUUGACUCUUGACUAUACCCUGACUGAUUUAGCUGCAUCAUUGGAGCUGAGUAGGAAAAACUUUUCCUGAUAUUUGAGAACAAAAAUUAUUAAAGGAACACAUUCCAAUUUUAUAAGGUAAGUCAAUAGUAACUUUAUUUUACAACCAAAGUAUGAGAGAUAUAUUUCUUUCUUUAGGUAAGGAACUAGACAGUAAAAUCAGACAUUCAAUAUAAGUGAAUGUUAAUAGGUAGAUGUCAAAAAGAAGAUAGAUAAAAUGUAUGGGGCUCUUUAUGUAGUUAGAAUAAAGCUAAUGUAAUAUUACUACCUUGUUAUACUUACAAAUCUCUCUCUCUCUUUUUUUAAAUAGAGAACUGAUGCUAGAUUUGGGCCUUGAUUGUUGGUUGCUCAAGGUUGUGCCCUUUUUACACUUCAGUAAAGUUAAAGGUCACCUGGAGCAAAGACAGAGACAAUGAAAGGUAAAGGUGAGGCACCUUUGGGUGUAAUUGAAGGAUUUCAUAUCUGGUAGUGGAUGUGAGACUUAUAACUCAAUUAUAUAUAAAAAUCUGCAGAGACAACAAACUUGCUCCUAGGGCAUAGACUGCUUCAGCAUCUAUUCAACAUUUAAUCACUCAUUUGCAUAAGAAGAAGGAAGAUUUAGGAAAUAUAUUAAAUGAUCUGUAAGUCAAGAAGAGUUCCUCCAUCAAGGGAUCCCAGCCAUGAAUCAGAAAAAGUAGGUGAAUAAAAAGGUCCUAUGCCUCUUACACCCCAUACCCAGGAGGUGAUAAACCUCAGAGCUAAGGAAACAGAAUCCAAGAGGCCCUGGGGGAGCCAGACUAGCUUAGCAAUGAAGGGACUUAUCUAGCAUCAGUAACACUACCCUUCAAUGAACUUUGUGUGCAUUCUCCACAGAGAAAAAGGAUAGCAGGGCCCUAAAGUUCCAUAGGGUUAGUUGCCUUGACUCUAUGCAUUUAUAUACUGCCUUGCAGGAAUAAUUCCCCCUGUAUCACCUUGGUCAUCUGUGGGAAAUUGAGUUAAUCAUUUAACUUGGUUCCUACAUAGCACUGGCCCCAUCAAGUUUAUUUUCAAAAGUGACAUCAGUUCCAGAUGAGUCUUUCUAAUGGGUUGGGAUCCUGAAGGUCCCUCCCAAAGCUUUUUCCUUGCUCCCUGUUCCUCAGGGCAUCAGUAUUGCACUGGUUGUAAAAUCUGGCCUGAAUUUUAACUCCUGGAUGUUCGUGACUUGUUCUCCGAGCCUUUGAAUUUCAUGAGGUUGGAAUCUUCACUCCCUGUACUGGAAAAGAAUGAACAAAAAGCCAAGAGCAUAUGGAGGACCUCAUCAUCUGCAUGGAAUUCCCCUCCUUGACCUGAACUCUGCAGAACUGUCCCCUCACAACAGUAAUUACUUUUGAGUCACCAAAGUCCAGCGGCAAGACAAAAGUUAGGAUGACUGGCAAUGGCUCAAGAUGCAGUGGAUGAUUUUGGCAUUUUUGAUGUUUGACCAAGCUUUAAGUAUUCCACAGUGCCUGUUUCAGUCGCCUUCAUGGCUGUUGGAACAAAUUGUUCUUAACCUCCCAUUCCACUGGAGGAAAUCUUUACCAUCUUGGGAUAGACAUCCUCUUAACUCAUCAAUGUGUUGAUUACCUUCAAUCUUGUUUAUCCUGUCUGCCAAGAUGACUUUACUGGGAUGUGGCUGCUGGACAUGCUACAACUUCUUGGAGUCACAGCAAUACAGGCGUGGUUUGUCAUUUCCUUCUCCAGCUCAUUUUGCUAAUAAGGAACUGAGAUGAACAGGGUUAAGUGACUUGUCCAGGACCACCCAGAUGGUAAGAAUUUGAGGCUAUAUUUGAACUCAGAUUUUCUUGGCUUUAGGUUUGAUGCUUUAUCCACUCUAUCAUGUAAUACCCCUUUACACAGGAUUAAUUGGAAAUAAUUAAAAAUAUAUAUAGUUAGAGAUUGGAAUUUUCCUGGAUCCUUGCAUUGCUAAUAACAUUUUUCGUUUGCAGUUUAUCAUCAUACAUUAUUGCUGUUACUUCUUAUAGAAGAUGGAAAUUUAUCCAAAACUUAAAGGAAUAGAUAACAGAAAUGAGAAGGGAAAGAAUUCCAGGCAUAAAGGUGAAAUAAGCAAGAGGACCAGUGACAUUAGAUCACAAAAAAUUGAUGGAUGAGAAAGGUAUAAGAAACCUGGACAAGUAGCAAGAUUAUAAAUGGAUUUGAAUGCCAAAUAGAUAAUUUUAUAUUUGAUCUUAGAGGCUUAUGGGGUCCCAGUGGAGUUUACUGAAAGAGGGAAAAAAUGACAUGAUCAGAUCUAUGCUUUAGAAAAAAUCACCACAUAAAGCAGCAACCAUCAAAACACUUGGAGUCAGGAUUCCAAGCUAAUUAUUUCAGCUAGCCCUAAAAGGAACUCUGAGAAGCUAGGGUUCUGAAACACGAGUCCAUGAGGGCUUUGGACUUGGAACUGAGUGGGACUAAUGAUAUAUAGGAAGUUGGUUAAACGAUGAACUUGAUCCCUCUCAUUUCCCCUGAUAUGAAGGGCAUAUAGGGGAAAUCAUAAGCCCAGGUAUUGGGAGUGAGUUGGGAAAUGUUUGUAUAUUUGUUCUAACUAUACCUUUGAAGUAAAUAUUUACUUGUAAAAGAUAAUUUGACUGUUAAGUGUUUAAGUGGAACUGGAGUGCUUGGAUCCAUAAAACUGGGGGAUCACAAUCAAUAGGGAUUUGAGCUAAUGGUAGAAAUUAGAUACCUUUCAUCCCCUAAAGGUAUAGGAUAAAAUAUGAAUACCAUUGGUCCUCAGGCAGUAGGGACCAGAUUCACUAUUACAUUUGUAAUUCCAAACUCAUAUAAUGGUUAUGUUCCUAUAAAAUACUGCCCCUUUUCUGGGACAGGUUAAACAAACACUAAAAAGUUUAGUUUGUUUGACUAAAUAUGGAAAAUAAUAGUUUGCAUUAAGAGCAAUAUUCAGUGUGAAAGUAGUGAAUGAAGGAGUAGAAGCAGCCUGAAUUUUCAUUUAGCAAUGUUGAUUAUGUCCUGCAGUCUUUUGAGUUGGUACAAACUGUUCCCAAAUCCCUAUCUUACUUUUUUAUUUUUCAUCUCUAUCCUUUUCCUCAUUCUUUUUAUUGGAUUAUAGUGUCAUGGACAAAAUUGGAGAUGAAAACCCUCUUGUUUCUCUUUGCCCUUUUCUGAAACCCUUACUGGAAAAAGAAAGAAAAGAAAGAAAGGGAGGAAGGAUAGAAGGAAGGAAGGAAGAAGGAAAUGAAGAAGGAAAGGAAGGAAGGAAAGAAGAGAGAAUGAGGGAAAGAACAAGGAAGAGAGAAAGAGAAGGAAAGAAAAGAGGAAGGAAGGAAGGAAAGGAGAGAAAGCAGAGGAAAAGAGUCAAUAAAUGUCAUUAUAUUUAACUGGUUCAGCUAGGUUGAAUUCAUUGUCCACUAUCAUGUACAAAAUUUAUCCUUGCUUCCAUUUCUUUAUGCAGAUUCUUUUCACUACUUGGAAUGACUUCCCCUCUCCUCUCUUAUAUCCAAAUCCUAUUAAUCCUUAUAAAUCCAGCUCAAGUCCUACUUUCUUCCCCAAACCUUUCCAACAUAUUCCAGAAUAUAGUGAUACUCAGGGCAGCAUAGAUUAAAAAACAUCAUGCUAGAUUUGCAGUCAUAGAACCUGGAUUUACAUCUCAUCUCUGAUGUUUACUUAACAUCUGUAGGACAAUGGAUAAGUCAAAUAACUUCUGUAAGUCUCAUAUUCUUUAUCUGUGAAAUGAGGAGUGAUGAUAAUCAUAUGGAUAUAUAGUACCUACUUCAAGGGAUUACUGCAAAGCUUAAGCGAUUGUAGAGCAUGCUGUCAAUUUUAAAGCCCUAUAUAAAAGUCUGUCAUCAUUGUUCCUCUUUGCUGAUUUCCAUUGCACUUACAGUGUGUGUAUACCUGACACAGUCAUCCUUUUUCUCCUCAUUCUCCUCCAUUCAGAGUUAUACAGGAGCCAAUUCCUAUAGAUAUACAAGAGCUGACAGAUACAUUUGCAGCUUGAAUAUUUACAUAUUGGAAACCUACUAUACUACUACACAUAUUGGAAAGCAUUCCAAAUCAGGGCUUGAUUUAUUGUUGUGUUGAUUAUCUAGAUUUGAGAAAAUUAUGGAGAAAAUAUUAAUAAUGCAGAUUGAACUUAAAAGCAUGCAAUUUGUACCACCAAAGCUACUAUUAAAUAUUUACCAGUACAGCAGUGCCACUAUCCUAAAUAUACUAAUAAUAACUAUCCUUUUAUAUAGUACUUCAAGGUUUAUCAAACAUCUUGCAUGUUAUCUCAUCUGAUCCUCACAAAACCAUGUAAGAAAGAUGCUAUUAUUAUUCAUGUUUUAUAGAUGAGGGAACUGAGGUUGAGAGAGUGACUAGUCCAGGGCCACAUAGCUAGGAAAGAUUUUAAAUCAGAUUUUCCUGUCUUCAACUUAGUACUUUUCUGAGUCACUUAGAUUACCAAUCAGUUGGUAAAUCUCAAGUAACUUGUAUCUUCACAAAACCUCUCACAUCUGUCUCUUUUAUUCACAUUCUCUUUCUUAUUUCAGGUCCACAUUUCAUUCCUAAUUACAUACUACUUUUCAUUGCUACUUGAAUUUUCAUUUAUACAGGUCUUGUGUCUUAUAAUAAAAUUAUUAGUUCCAGGAAGUCAAAGAUCCCAUCUUGUCCCCUUCAAAAUCCAGCACAGUACUUUUUGUGAUGGUGAAAAAAAUCUGGAACCAAAGAGGAUGUACAACAAUUGGGGAACUGUUAAAACAAAUUAUGGUAUAUGAAUGAAAUGAAAUAUUAUGCUAUAAAAGAUAAAGAACAACAUGGAAAUUAAAGAAAACAUUGGAAAACUUGUGUGAAUUGAUGCCGUAAGAAAGAAAAGUAGAACUAGAAGACCCAUUCAUACCAUGAUUAUAAGGAUAUAAAUAAAAACAACAUAAAAAGGCAAGCAGCAGAUAGGUAGGUGACUCAAUGGAUAGAGUGCCAGGCCUGGAGUUGGGAGAACCUAGGUUCAAAUUUAGCCUCAGACAAUUCCUACCUUUGUGACUUUGGGCAAAUCACUUAACCCCCUUUUCCCUAGUACUUCUAUCUUGGAGUUGUUAUUAGGAGAGAAAAUAAGCAUUAAAAAAAGGGACCCAGUCUCAGAUUAAUUGCAAAGACCAAUCAUAUUGAUGAACAGAUGAUGAUCAUGCUUCCUUCUUUUUGUAGUUAGAUAGGACAUCUAUAUGUCCAGUUCCAAGUCUAUUUCCUGAGUUCUCCUCUACCAUCAGCUGUUUCCUAUUAGAAAUUUCACGCUGCAUGCAUAACAAAAUCUCAGGGUCAGAGAUCUUCUGGGGAUGGAGCCAAGAUGGUGGAGUAAACCUCUGAAGCUCUGUGCCACCAUAAGAAUCCUUCCCAACCAAAAUUAAAAUAUCACGAUAAAAUAAAUACAGGAGUAAAAGAACCAAUAAGGAGACAGAGUGAAACAACUCUCAAGAAAAGAAAAACCCGAAGGUAGGCAAUGAACAUCUGGGGCACUAGGGUAAGAGGAGAGCAGACUCAGCAAGAAGCGAUAGCAAGGAGGGAAGAGCAAGCCAAGAGAGAGCCAUAUUUUCCUACCCUACAUCUGCUGCCUAUGCCUGAGUCAACAUUCAUAUCCUGAGACCCUACCUGAGUAAAUAGAGGUAAAAGCCAACCCAUAUCCCUUGAAAUUUCAAAUUUAUGGAGAAGUCCAGAACCCUAGCCCAAUAAGGACUUAAUUCACACCUUGGGGUUGAUGAUAGAACCAAGUACUUACUACUGAUCUUUUUGCCUAAACCUCAGGGUGGAGCUCCAAGACAGGACAAUCAAGGGUGUGCCUGAUUGGAUCAAGUACAUAGUGAGACAAAAAACUUGAGACUAAGCCUUAGGCUAGAAUUUGAUCAGUCCCGACCUGAUCAAGAUCAAAAUGAGAUCAAAAGCUUACACCUAAGCCUGAGGCAAGUAUUUAGGUUAUCAGCAUCAUAAGGGACAAUUGAAUCAGCAGGGGGAGUUCUCAGCCCUCAGCCCAUCAUCUCUCCUAAGCCAACCUAUAAUUAGAUAGUAAAAAUGAGGAAAUAACAAAAAAACCACCAAACUAAGGAAUUUUUAUAAAGACAAAGAGCAAGGUACAGACACAGAAGGUGACAAUGAAAGCAAAGGAAACACACCCGAAGUCCAAAACAAAAAUAUGGAUUGGGCACAGAUUCUGGAAAAACUCAAAAAGGGCUUAAAAAACAAUUAAGAGAGGCAGAGGAAAAAUAGGAAAGAGAAAUGAAAGUGAUGCAAGGAGAAAGGAAAGUAAUGCAAGAAGAAAUGGGCCAAUUGAAAAAAGAAGAACCAAAAACUGAAAGAGGAAAACCAGGCCUUAAAAACCAGAAUUUACUAUCUAGAAACUAAUUAUUUCAUGAGAAAACAAGAAACAAUAAAGCAAAAUCAAAGGAAUGAAAAAAUAGAGGAAAAUAUGAAAUAUCUUACUGAAAAAACAACUGACCUAGAAAAUAGAUCUAGAAGAGACAAUUUGAGAAUUAUUGAAUUACCUGAAAGUCAUGAUCUAGAAAAAAACCUUGGACAUAAUAUUACAAGAAAUUAUCAAAGAUAACUGACCAGAGAUCCUCAAAUAAGAAAAUAAAAUUGAAAUUGAAACAAUUCACAGAUCACCUCCAGAAAGAAAUCCUCAAAUGACAACUUCCAGGAAUAUAAUAGCUAAAUUCAAGAGCCACCAAGCCAAGGGAAAAAUACUUCAAACAGCCAGAAAGUAACCAUCCAAAUACCAUGGAGCUAUCAGAAUCAUAGAGGACCUAGUGGCUUCUACAAUAAAGGAUUGAAAAGCAUGGAAUAUGAUAGUCAGGAAGGCAAACGAUUUGGGUUUACAACCCAGAGUCACCUAUCCAGCAAAACUGAAUAUACUCUUUCAGGGGAAAAAAAUGGACAUUCAAUAAGAUAGAAGAUUUUCAAGCAUUCCUGAGGAAUAAGCUAGAUCCAAACAAAAAAUGUUGAAGUCCAAACACAAGACACAAGAGAAGCCCAAAAAGGUAAGUAAGAAAGAAAAAAUUUAAGGAAUUCAUUAAGGUCAAAAUGUUUAUAUGUCUACAUGGAAAGAGGAUUUCUGUAAUUCUCAAAAAUUACUCUUAGUAGAAGAUAAAAUAGAAGGAAUUUACUCAGAAAGAGGGUGGAGAAGUAAGCUGAUUAUGAUGAUAUGAUAUAUAUGAUGAUAUAUGAUGAUGUGAUGUAUAUGUAAAUGUGAUGAUAUGGAACAAUCUGAUAUGUAUGCAUAUGAAUGAUAUGUUAAAAUAUCAAUCAAGGGCUAAGAGGGUUGCACUUAGAGAAAAGUCAAAAGAGAGAUAGAAUGGGGUAAAUUAUAUAUCAUAAAGAGGUGUAAAAAAUCAUUAUAGAGAGGGGAGGAUAAGGGUGGUGAUUGGCAAUGCUUAAACUUUACUCUCAUCAUAAAGGGCUCAGAGAGGGUAAAACAAGUAUACUACAUAGGAUAUAGAAGUCUAUCUUACCUUAAUCAGUGGGUUAUAGAAUUCUAUCUUACCCCACAGAGAAGUAGAAGGGAAAUAAGACAAGGAAAGAGGGAGGUAAUUGGAGGGAGGAGGAAGUGGGGGGAUGACAAAAAGCAAAACACUGGUGAGGAGGAACAGAGAGAAAGGGAAUAAGCAGGAUUUAAAGGGGAUAAUACGAUGGAGGGCAAUAUAUAGUAAGCAAUCAUAACACUGAAUGUGAAUGGGAUGAACUCACCCAUUAAAUUGUAAACCUUAAAAUUUCUCAGACAUAUGAAUGUUGGAAAUUUCCCCAUUGGGGAAUCUUCUACUUAAAAAAAUUCUUUAGCAGAUAGUGAGAAUUCUACUUGAAUAUCCCUACUCCACCCUACUUAAGACUGCUUUAGGACAGAAAACUCAUUGCUAAACAAAGAAAGUACUUGGAUCCAUGCUUAUGGUGGGACAAGGAGUUCUUUGAGCCAGGCCUGUUUUUUAAAUUGAUACAAUGGGAUGCUAGGUACCCAUAUAGGUGGGGAAACUUGUAAACUACUUAAACCUAAAAGGGUGAUAACUUAUUCAGAGGUUUUUUCUUAAUGAAAUUUGUCGACACAGCAGCAUUUUUUUUCUGACUUACUAAAGAGAUUAAAACUACUCAGCUGUGAAUUCAAAAUGGGCGGUCCUUUAGAAACAUCUACAGUGAUUGGUAGAUGUAAGGACUUAGGGGAGGUGACAGAGGAAAUUUUUGCCCUUAAAAAUAAGAGCUUGGAUCCCAUUCAGGGAUCUCGAUUUCUGAUUCUCAUUCUGGAGGAUCUCAUUCUGAGACUCAUUUCCUUGAGGACUGAUGCUUGAGGGCUCUUUCCUUGGAGAUAGAUCUCUUUGAGGAGAAGUGCUCUUGGAGGAAAUCUCAUUCUGAAGGAGAGCUCCUUGAGGAGCAACUCUGAGGGGCUCUGUCCCUCUGGGGUAGGAGCUCUGGAGGCUCUUGAGAGAGGCCCUUUGAAACAAUCUCUGGCUGGAAGACUUUUCGAGGAAGGACUCUGGCCUGGUGUCACUAGUAUCCUUGUUUAAUCAGACCUUGUGGUGAGUGUUAAAAAACUGACUGAUUUCUCUUUUAAGACUCAGGUCUAGGCCAUAUUGGCUUGAAGCCCUUCAUACUUAUUCCUUUCUUACUCUCUCUCUCUCUUUCUUUGACUACUCAUUGUAUUGUUAAUUAAAAUCUCUAUAAAACCCAAUUGACUUGGGUAUUUGAAUAAUUGGGAAUAUUUCCCUGGCGACCACCUUAUAUUUGAUUUUAAAACCCAAGACACUGUAGUGAAACAUAUUUCUGCGGUCAAAUUUACUCACCCUCUCUUAUAUCUAUCACAAUUUAUAUCUUCCACUAUUUUAAUCACUACAGUUUAAGACCUCAACCAUUUUAAAUCUCACAAAAUGGAAAUAGAUAGCAGAGUGAUUUUAAAACCAAAAUCCUACUAUUUGUUGGUUGUUAACAAGAAAUACAUUUGAGGCAGUGUGACACACACAGAUUCAAACUAAAAGGCUGGAGUAGAAAUUAUUAUUCAUCAUCUAAAGUAAAAAAAGCAGGAGUAGCAAUCAUAAAAUCAGACAAUGCUAAUGUAGAAAUUAAUCUGAUUAAAAGAGAUAAGGAAGGAAAUUGCAUUCUGUUAAAGGGUACUAUAAACAUGAAAUAUCAUUAUUUGGUACCUUUAUGCACCAAAUGGCAUAGCAUCUAAAUUAUUAAAGGAAAAAUUAAAGGAGCUCAAGGAGGAAAUGGAUAGUAAGACCAUUUUAGUGAGGGAUAUCAACCUCCUUUCAGAAUUAGGUAAAUUGAACCAAAAAAAUAAAUAAGAAAGAAGUAAAGGAAGUGAAUGAAAUGCUAGAAAAAUUAGAGUUAAUAGAUAUCAGUAUAAAAUUGAAUAGGAAUAAAAAGAAAUAUACCUUCUCAGCAGUACAUGGUACAUAUACAAAGACUGACCAUGUACUAGGGCAUAGAAAUAUUGCAAAAAAAUGCAGAAAAGCAAAAAUAAUAAAUACAACUUUUUCAGAUCAUAAUGCAAUAAAAAUUAUACUUAACAAGGGUCCGUGGAAAGGCAAAUUUAAAGUAAUUGGAAACUAAAUAAUCUAAUUCUUCAAAACUGGUGGGUCAAAAAAGAAACCUUAAAAACAAUUAUGGAUUUCAUAAAAGAGAAUGAUAAAAAAGAGACAUCAUAUCAAAACCUAUGGGAUAUAGUGAAAGCAGUACGCAGGGGAAAAUUUGUAUCUCUGAGUGUCUAUAGCAAUAAGUUCAAGAGGAAGGAGAUCAAUGAAUUGGGCUUACAACUUAAAAAAUUAGAAAAAGAACAAAUUUUAAAUCUCCAGAUAAAAACUAAGUUGGAAAUCCUAAAAAUUAAAGGAGAAACUAAUCAAAAUGAAAGUAAAAGAACUAUUUAACUAAUAAAUAAGACUUGUUUAUUCUUAUAAGACCAAUCUUCUUAAUGAAUAUAGAUGCAAAAAUCUUAAAAUACUAGCAAAAAGACUACAGCAAGUUAUCACAAGUAUUAUCCACUAUGACCAGGUGGGAUUUAUACCAGGAAUGCCAGUAGGGUUUAAUAUUAGGAAAGCCAUCCACAUAAUUGACCAUAUCAAUAAUCAAACCAACAGAGAUCACAUGAUUAUCUCAACAGAUGCAGAAAAAAGCCUUUGACAAAAUACAACACCCAUUCCUAUUGAAAGACACCAGAAAGUAUAGGAAUAGAAGGGCCAUUCCUCAAAUAAUAAACAGUAUAUAUUUAAAACCAUCAGCAAAUAUCAUUAUCAGUGGGGACAAUUGAGAAGCCUUCCCACUAAGAUCAGGAGUGAAGCAAGGAUGCUCAUUAUCACCUGUAUUAUUUAGUAUUUUAUUAGAAAUGCUAUCAGUACCAAAUAGAGAAGAAAAAGAAAUUGAAGGGAAUAAAGUAGGCAAUGAGAAAACUAAACUAUCAUCUUUGCAGAUGAUAGGAUGGUACACUUAAAGAAUCCUAAAAAACAACUAAAAGACUAGUGGAAAUAAUUAACAACUAUAGCAAAGUUGCGGGGUACAAGAGAAACUUACCAGCAUUUCUAUAUAUUUCCAACAAAAUUCAGCAUCAGGAAUUAAAAAAAGAAACUCCAUUUAAAAUCACUGUGUACAAUAUUAAAUAUUUAGGAAUUUAUCUACCAAGACAAACACAAGAAUUAUAUGAACACAACUACAAAACACUUUUUACACAAUUAAAACUAGAUCUAAAUAAUUGGAAAGACAUUAAUUGCUGAUGGGUAGGAUGAGCUAACAUAAUAAAAAUGACAACCUUACCCAAAUUAAUCUACUUAUUUAGUGCCAUACCUUUCAAACUACCACAAAACUUUUUUAUAGGAUUAGAAAAAAAUUAUAACAAAGUUCAGCUAGAAGAACAAGAGAUUAAGAAUAUCAAAAGGAAAUAAUGAAAAAAAUGUGAAUGAUGUGGGCCUAGUAAUACAAGAUCUUAAAUUGUACAAAAAAGCAGUAUACCAUAUGGUACUAAGAGAUAGAAGGAUGGAUCAAUGGAAUAGACUUGACCUCAGCAAGCUAAUGUACAAUAAACCCAAAGAUUCCAGCUUUUGGGACAAGAACUCAUUAUUUGACAAAAACUGCUGGGAAAAUUGGAAAACAGUAUGGGAAAAAUUGGGUUUAGAGCAACAUCUUAUACUUUAUAUCAAGAUAAAUUCAAAAUGAGUAAAUGACUUUAAAUUAAAAGGGUGAAAUAAUAAAUAAAUUAGGUGAACAUAGAAUACUAUACCUGUCAGAUCUGUGGGAAAGGAAGGAAUUUAAGACCAAGCAAGAGAGAGAGAAUAUUACAAAAUGUAAAAUUAAUGAAUUUGAUUAUAUCAAAUUAAAAAGGUUUUGUACAAACAAAACCAAUGCAACCAAAAUUAGAAGGAAAGCCACAAACUGGGAGAACAUUUUUAUAACCAAACUCUCUGACAAAGGUUUAAUUUCCAAAAUAUAUAUAAGGAACUAAGUCAAAUUUGCAAAAAAAUCAAGCCAUUCCCCAAUUGACAAGGGACAUGAAUAGACAGUUUUCACACAAAAUCCAAACUAUUAAUAAGCACAUGAAAAAGUGUUCUAAAUCCCUUCUGAUUAGAAAAAUGCAAAUAAAAACAACUCUGAGGUAUCACCUUACACCUAAUAGACUGGUCAAUAUGGCAGCAAAGGAAAAUGAUAAAUGUUGGAGGGGGAUGUGGCAAAAUUGGGACACUAAUACACUGCUAGUAGAGUUGUGAAUUGAUCCAACCAUUCUGGAGGGCAAUUUGGAAUUAUGCGCAAAGGACUUUAAAAGACUACCUGCCCUUUUAUUCAGCCAUACCUCUGCUGGGUUUGUACCCCAAAGAAAUAAUAAGGAAAAAUACUGGUAGGAAAAUAUUGAUAAUCAUGCUCUUUAUGCUGGCAAAAAAGGGAGGGAAAUGAGGGAAUGUCCAUCAAUUGGGAAAUGAAUGAACAAAUUGUGUUAUCUGAUGGUGAUAUAAUAUUAUAAUGCUGAAAGAAAUAAUGAACUGGAGGAAUUCCAUGUGCACUAGAGACCUCCAGGAAUUGAUGCAAAGCAAAAGGAGCAUAACCAGGAGAUCAUUGUACCCAGAUACUGAUACAUUAUGGCAAAAUUGAAUAUAAUGAACUUCUCUACUAGCAGCAAAGCUAGUAGAUUCAGGGCAAUUCUGAAGAACUUAUGAGAAAGAAUGCUAUCCACAUCCAAAGAAAGAACUGUGGAAAUAGAAACACAUUAGAAAAACAUAUAAUCAGUCACAUAGUUUGAUAGGGAUAUGAUUAGGGUUUUAAUGUUAAAAGAUUACUCUACUGCAUGUUAUGAAUAACAUGGAAAUAGGUUUUGAACAAUGAUACAUGUGGAAUUGCUUGUCAGCUCUGGGAGAGAGGAUGGAAGGUGGGGGGGAGAGAAUCAUGAAUCAUGUAACCAUAGAAAAAUAUUCUAAAUUGAAAAAAAAGAAGAAAAAAUCUCAGGUCAACUUGUCUAAAACAGAAUUCAUUAUUUCUUCUCCUAAAUUCACUCUGCUGCUGAAUUUCCUGGUUUCUGCUGAAAGCAUCACUAUCCUUCCAGUCACCCUUAACUCCACAUCUCCCCCACUUCACAUAUUAAAAAAAAUUGUUGAGUCCUCCCAAUUUGGUUUCCAAAUUCUUUCUCACUUCUAUCUCUUUUCUACUCAAAUGACCACCAUCCUAUUUCAGGAUAUUGGCACCUUUCACCUACACUACUAUAAUUUUGUCUGAACUGAUCCCCUUGACUCAAAUUUCUCCUUUUCAAACCAUCUCCCAUCAAAUUGUCAAAAUGAUUUUCCUAAAACUCAAGACUGACCAUGUUAUCCUCUCUCAUGCAGUGAUUUCCUAUUGCCUCAAUAAUCAAGUACAAAUCCUUGUUUGUCCUAUAAACCCAUAAUGACUUGGCUCCAACUUAAUUUUCCAAAUUUAAUAUUUGUUAACCCCACCCUCCCAUAGUCUAUUAUGCAGACAAAUUGGCAUUCUUGCCAUUCCUAGCAUACAAUAGUCUAUUUCCUAUCUCCUUGGGUUUGCCCUGGCUCAUCCCCAUUUCUAGAUUACACUCCCUCCUAAUCCCUGUUUAAUCCCAAAUUUCCUUCAAAACUCAACUCAACUGUCACUUUCUUCAUGAAACUUUUCCUUGACCUCUUAGUUCAUAGUAUCACUUCCCUCUCUUCUUCAAUGACCUUGUAUUUAUUUUUUAAUCAAUUUGCAUGUUAUUGUUGAUAGAGAACUGAUUUCUGAGUCAGGAAAAUUUGGGAUAUUUCCCAUCAGAUAAAUAUUACUGUCACCUAUCCUGGACAAAUCACCUAGUACCUCAAAGACUACA